ACUUGGAUAUGGAUUCUUCACGGUAACGUAACUGAAUGUGGAGACGUCGGCAUGAGCCCUGGGAGGAGUUCUNUUUUCUUCUUNACAGCUUAUCACCCUGGAAUUGGUUUAUCNGGAGAUAGGGUNUUAUGGCUGGAAGAGCGCAGUUCCUUUACUGCGUCCGGUGCGCUUAUGNCGAUCCUUGAAAAUCCACAGGAAGGAAUAGUUUUCAUGCCAAGUCGUNCU
rnacentral:rRNA from 1 species